UACGAGGGGGGCGAGCGUUGUUCGGAAUUAUUGGGCGUAAAGGGUGCGUAGGCGGUUCGGUAAGUUUCGUGUGAAAUCUUCGGGCUCAACUCGAAGUCUGCACGAAAUACUGCCGGGCUUGAGUGUGGGAGAGGUGAGUGGAAUUUCCGGUGUAGCGGUGAAAUGCGUAGAUAUCGGAAGGAACACCUGUGGGGAAAGCGGCUCACUGGACCACAACUGACGCUGAGGCACGAAAGCUAGGGGAGCAAACAGG
rnacentral:rRNA from 1 species